rnacentral:rRNA from 1 species
GCGAGCCACCCGCCCA